rnacentral:rRNA from 1 species
AAACGACUCUCGGCAACGGAUAUCUCGGCUCUCGCAUCGAUGAAGAAGGUAGAGAAAUGCGAUACUUGGUGUGAAUUGCAGAAUCCCGUGAACCAUCGAGUCUUUGAACGCAAGUUGCACCCGAAGCCUUCCGGCCGAGGGCACGUCUGCCUGGGCGUCAAG